rnacentral:lncRNA from 1 species
CUCAAAGCGCCGGCACUCCUUUAUAAUGGCGUCCACUGUGGAGUAAUUCUUGCAUAUUAGAAGAUUGAAAGCGUCGUCAGCAAUCCCCUUAAGAAUAUGCCCAACUUUGUCGGCCUCCGGCAUCUCGGCAUUGGCUUUGCGACACAAUGAGAUCACAUCUUCUAUAUACGAGACGUACGAUUCUGUGGAUGUCUGCGCCCGAGACGCGAGCAUUUUGUUCGCGGCCAUCUUUCGUCCAACGGGCUUGCCAAACAAGUCCAA